ACAUACGUGUUUCUCCAUUAGAGGAACUCUCCAGUACAUUAUUAAUUGUUGUUCAAGAUUGAUAGAGCUCAAAUGGCACAAAAAAUGGGGAAAAUCAAUACUUUAUUAACAAUAAUUUGACUAAUUGCAUAGUUUUGGCCUCGAAUUCAGUUCCCUAUAAACCCAAAUUCAACUUUACCCUCUUCUUCUCCUGGAAUCCCGCUUUCUGAUCUACAUUUAGCUUCAUUCUCCAUUAAUUACCCUUAUUAAAAUAUUCCCCAUUGUUUUUCCACUGCCCC
rnacentral:lncRNA from 1 species